rnacentral:rRNA from 1 species
UACGUAGGGUGCAAGCGUUGUCCGGAAUUAUUGGGCGUAAAGAGCUCGUAGGCGGUCUGCCACGUCGGAUGUGAAAAUCCAGGGCUUAACCCUGGACCUGCAUUCGAUACGGGCAGACUAGAGUUCGGUAGGGGAGACUGGAAUUCCUGGUGUAGCGGUGAAAUGCGCAGAUAUCAGGAGGAACACCGGUGGCGAAGGCGGGUCUCUGGGCCGUAACUGACGCUGAGGAGCGAAAGCGUGGGGAGCGAACAGG